rnacentral:rRNA from 5 species
UACGCUCUACAACCCUUUGUGAACAUACCUAUAACUGUUGCUUCGGCGGGCAGGGUCUCCGUGACCCUCCCGGCCUCCCGCCCCCGGGCGGGUCGGCGCCCGCCGGAGGAUAACCAAACUCUGAUUUAACGACGUUUCUUCUGAGUGGUACAAGCAAAUAAUCAAAACUUUUAACAACGGAUCUCUUGGUUCUGGCAUCGAUGAAGAACGCAGCGAAAUGCGAUAAGUAAUGUGAAUUGCAGAAUUCAGUGAAUCAUCGAAUCUUUGAACGCACAUUGCGCCCGCCAGCAUUCUGGCGGGCAUGCCUGUUCGAGCGUCAUUUCAACCCUCAAGCUCUGCUUGGUGUUGGGGCCCUACGGCUGACGUAGGCCCUCAAAGGUAGUGGCGGACCCUCCCGGAGCCUCCUUUGCGUAGUAACUUUACGUCUCGCACUGGGAUCCGGAGGGACUCUUGCCGUAAAACCCCCAAUUUUCCAAAGGUUGACCUCG